UUAGAGUUUGAUCCUGGCUCAGGAUGAACGCUAGCGGCAGGCUUAACACAUGCAAGUCGAGGGGCAGCAUGUCCAGCAAUGGAUGAUGGCGACCGGCGGAAGGGUGCGUAACGCGUGAGCAACAUGCCCUAUACAGGGAGAUACACCAGGGAAACUUGGUCUAAUAUCCCAUAGCAUUCAUUGAAGGCAUCUUUAAUGAAUUAAAGCUUCGGUGGUAUAGGAUUGGCUCGCGUGACAUUAGCCAGAUGGUGAGGUAACGGCUCACCAUAGCAAUGAUGUCUAGGGGUUUUGAGAGGAAGGCCCCCCACACUGGGACUGAGACACGGCCCAGACUCCUACGGGAGGCAGCAGUGAGGAAUAUUGGACAAUGGAUGGAAAUCUGAUCCAGCCAUGCCGCGUGCAGGAAGACGGCCUUAUGGGUUGUAAACUGCUUUUAUACGGGAGCAAUAAGGGUUACGAGUAAUCCGAUGAGAGUACUGUAUGAAUAAGGAUCGGCUAACUCCGUGCCAGCAGCCGCGGUAAUACGGAGGAUCCGAGCGUUAUCCGGAAUUAUUGGGUUUAAAGGGUGCGUAGGCGGCCAUUUAAGUCAGCGGUGAAAUUUUGCAGCUUAACUGUACCAGUGCCGUUGAUACUGUUUGGCUAGGAUUUGGUUGUAGUGUGCGGAAUGGGUGGUGUAGCGGUGAAAUUGCUUAAAUAUCCCCAAAACACCGAUUGCGAAGGCAGCACACUAAGUCAUUAUUGACGCUGAGGCACGAAAGUGUGGGGAUCAAACAGGAUUAGAUACCCUGGUAGUCCACACUGUAAACGAUGAUAACUCGCUGUCGGCGAUACACAGUCGGUGGCCAAGCGAAAGCAUUAAGUUAUCCACCUGGGGAGUACGACCGCAAGGUUGAAACUCAAAGGAAUUGACGGGGGCCCGCACAAGCGGCGGAGCAUGCGGAUUAAUUCGAGGCAACGCGAAGAACCUUACCAAGGCUUGACAUACACCUGGAGCGCGCGGAAACGUGUGUGACUUUGAUACAGGUUGUACAGGUGGUGCAUGGUUGUCGUCAGCUCGUGUCGUGAGAUGUUGGGUUAAGUCCCGCAACGAGCGCAACCCUUAUUGUUAGUUGCCAUCAUUAAGUUGGGUACUCUAGCGAGACUGCCCGGGUUAACCGGGAGGAAGGUGGGGAUGACGUCAAAUCAUCAUGCCCCUUAUGUCCGGGGCGACACACGUGUUACAAUGGAAGGUACAGAGGGCAGCUAUCCGGUGACGGAAUGCUAAUCUCCAAAACCUUUCUCAGUUCGGAUUGGAGUCUGCAACUCGACUCCAUGAAGGUGGAUUCGCUAGUAAUCGCGCAUCAGCCAUGGCGCGGUGAAUACGUUCCCGGGCCUUGCACACACCGCCC
rnacentral:rRNA from 1 species